CCCACACAUCUCUUCUCUCCAGGCAAGCUAUCAGCCCAGACUCUCAAGAUGGCCUAUGUUCCAGCACCGGGCUACCAGCCCACCUACAAUCCGACUCUGCCCUACAAGAGACCCAUCCCAGGUGGCCUCAGUGUCGGGAUGUCCGUUUACAUCCAAGGAAUGGCCAAAGAGAACAUGAGACGGUUCCACGUGAACUUCGCUGUGGGGCAGGAUGAUGGGGCGGAUGUUGCUUUCCACUUCAAUCCCCGCUUUGAUGGCUGGGACAAGGUGGUCUUCAACACGAUGCAAAGUGGACAAUGGGGCAAGGAAGAGAAGAAGAAGAGCAUGCCUUUCCAGAAGGGCAAGCACUUCGAGCUGGUGUUCAUGGUCAUGCCUGAGCACUACAAGGUCGUGGUGAACGGAAAUUCCUUCUAUGAAUACGGGCACCGGUUACCUGUACAGAUGGUCACCCAUCUGCAAGUGGAUGGGGACCUGGAACUUCAGUCCAUCAACUUCCUCGGAGGCCAACCAGCUGCAGCCCCAUAUCCGGGAGCCAUGACUAUUCCAGCUUACCCUGCUGGGAGUCCUGGGUACAACCCUCCACAGAUGAACACCUUGCCUGUCAUGACAGGACCCCCAGUCUUCAAUCCGGUAUGGUGUCCCAGGGGCUAGUCAAAGGAGCAAGUCAAAGGAGGCAGAGAAUGCUGGGAGCCCAGAAAGGGUGGACUAUAUCGUGUGCCAUAUGUGGGGGCUCUGCAGGGGGGCCUUACAGUCCGAAGAACCAUCAUAAUCAAGGGAUAUGUACUUCCUACAGCCAGGAACUUUGUCAUCAACUUCAAGGUGGGAUCGUCCGGAGACAUAGCUUUACACCUAAACCCCCGCAUAGGUGACAGUGUGGUUCGCAACAGCUUUAUGAAUGGCUCUUGGGGCGCUGAAGAGAGGAAGGUGGCCUACAACCCAUUUGGCCCUGGGCAGUUCUUUGAUCUGUCAAUCCGCUGCGGCAUGGAUCGAUUCAAGGUGUUUGCCAAUGGCCAGCACCUUUUCGACUUCUCCCAUCGGUUCCAAGCAUUCCAAAUGGUAGACACGCUGGAGAUCAAUGGUGACAUCACCUUGUCCUACGUCCAGAUCUGAGCUCCUCCUGGGGAAGGAAGCAGAAAGAUCCCCGAGUUCCAUCUAAGCUCCUAAUAAAAUGUUGAAGGAG